rnacentral:tRNA from 1 species
GGUCAUGUGGCCUAGUGGUCAAGGCAUCUGCCCGGUAAGCGGAAGGUCGUGGGUUCGAUUCCCAUCCCUUGACACU